rnacentral:sRNA from 1 species
UAAAUUGUGUAUCAGAGUAACGAUGAGU